UAUCUCUGUAGAGUCUGCAUAUCAAUAAGCGGAGGAAAAGAAACUAACUAGGAUUCCCUCAGUAACGGCGAGUGAAGCGGGAAGAGCUCAAAUUUGAAAUCUUCAAGGUUUUACCUUGACGAAUUGUAGUUUAAAGAAGUGUUUUCUGUUGGAGUUUCGGUAAAAGUUCUUUGGAAUAGGACAUCAUAGAGGGUGAGAAUCCCGUAUUUGACCGUUACUUUCCAGCUGUGUGAUACACUUUCAAAGAGUCGGAUUGUUUGGGAAUGCAGUCCAAAAUGGGUGGUAAAUUUCAUCUAAAGCUAAAUAUUGGCGAGAGACCGAUAGCGAACAAGUACCGUGAGGGAAAGAUGAAAAGAACUUUGAAAAGAGAGUUAAACAGUACGUGAAAUUGUCAAAAGGGAAGCGUUUGACACCAGUGUUGUUUAGUUGAAAAUCAAUUCAAUAAUUUUUGAUUUUGAGUAGUAUUGACUUCAUCAGCUUGCUGCUUUCUUUUCAGAAAUUAUUGAAUGCACUUUUCAGUUAACAAGUCAACAUCAAUUUCUUUUGUUGUAAAAGGGUAAGAGGAAGGUGGCUUACGCUUCGGCGUAAGUGUUUAUAGCCUUUUACCUCUGCAAUCGGAGAGAUUGAGGUCUGCAGCGUAGACUCUUCGGGGUUAGAUACACUUGUGCUAAGCUAUAGCCUUGUAUAGACAACUUGUUGACUAUGCUCAGUCAUGUAGCUUACUCGCUUGUGCUAUCUUACCUACGCUUAGGAUGUUGAGUAGCGACAUACGCAC
rnacentral:rRNA from 1 species